GGAGAGAGAGAUUGAAACUGAGAUCUGGGUUGAAGAGGCCACUUCUGCUUUUUGACAGUGCUCGUGGGUGAGACAGAGAUAAGACAGGAGUAGAAGAGAGAGCAGCGAUAGCCAACAGGCGCUCAUAGCUUCUGCUUUAAACCAAGCUCAGAGGAGAGAAGGGCUUUUGGAAAAGCAAAGUGAACGAAAAAUCCACUCUGAUGGGACGUGAUGAGAGGUGGAGAAGCAAAGACUUGGGGCUUUUGAAAGUGAAGUGGAUUUUUGAAUGCUAAAAAAAAAAUCUGUAAUUUCCAGUUUUAAAGAACUGCCUAUAAGGAUAAUUGAACAAAUAAAAAGCUCACUUUUUGAACCUG
rnacentral:lncRNA from 1 species